GUCUACAGCCAUACCUCCCUGAAUAUGCCUGAUCUUGUCUGUUGGCACUAAGUAGGGUUGGGCACAGUUAGUACUUGGAUGGGAGAUUGGCUUGGAAAUCCUGAGUGCUGCAGGCU
rnacentral:rRNA from 1 species